AAAAAAGAAAACAGAAAAUAAAAAAAAUUAAAACGAUUAAUUGGAAAAAAAGAGCAAUAUUAAAAAAUUUCUGUUCAAAUUAAUACCAACGGGAAAAUCGGUCUUCCUCCCAUUAUCUGGACCAACUGUGGGCAUUAUGAUCGGGAUCUGGUGGACCCGGGACCUGACUCCGCCCUCACCCCGUCGCUUACUCGCAGUGAUGCCCGGGGAAAAUCGGUCUUCCUCCCAUUAUCUGGACCAACUGUGGGCAUUAUGAUCGGGAUCUGGUGGGCCCGGGACCUAACUCCGCCCUCACCCCGUCGCCUACUCGCAGUGACACCCCGGGUAUUAUUUUUGUCGGCUGAAUUUCUAGGCAAUGUUAUUUGAAAAUACUGUUUAAAAAAUUUUAAUUUCAAUUAAAAUUUUAAGUAGUAGUUUCAACAAUAACACUGAAUAGCAAUUCAGUUUACAAUAAAAAUAGAAAGAAGAAAAAGAAUGCAACAUAAGGACAUAAUUGCACGAUGGAGCUGCGUAGCGUUUGUAAUGUUGAAAAAAAUCAGACAGACCAAACCAGGAAGGAUACUCUAGGAGGACCAUAAAACUGGUGACAAAAAUUAUUUUCAGACCGUACAAUAUUGUUUUGUCAGAUGAAUUUCUAGGCAGUGUUAGUUGAAAAUACUGUUUAAAAAAUUUUAAUUUCAAUUAAAAUUUUAAAUAGUAUUUUCAACAAUAACACUGAAUAGCAAUUCAGUUUACAAUAAAAAUAGCAAAGAAGAAAAAGAAUGCAACAUAAGGACAUAAUUGCACAAUGGAGCUGCAUAGCGUUUGUACCACCACUGGAAAUGUUGAAAAAAAUCAGACAGGCCAAACCAGGAAGGAUAGUCUAGGAGGACCAUAAAACUGCGAUUCACCUGGGUGCAGUUCAAAGAUGAAAAGUGGAAAGUCUCUCAAACUUCGUCUCCUAAUGGAGUCACUAAGCAGCAACUUUACAGGUCAACUGCUCAGAUGGAAGCUUGGAAGCUCUCCAGAAGAAAAUUUACGGACUAUUGAAAUUAUUUUAUUAAAUAAACAGGACAUUUAAAUAAUUA